AUAAGGAUAACGUAUGCUGAUCUCGAAGGCCAUGCUUAUGCUGGCUGCAGACGGCGGAAGCAAUUCAAAGGUAAAAUACUUUUUAAAACUUCCUUCUACGCUAAACUAUAGUGUAAAAUAUAGAUUGUUCUACGGUUAUUUUGUCUCGCAACAUCUAUACGUAGUUGUGUGUAACCCGGCACAAAAUUUUAGUAUGCGAGUGUACUGGUUAAUAUUUUUGUCAUCACAGAGGCCACAACAUUCUCACAAGUAUGCAGGUGGCGCUAUUGUUUUUCCUCCGUGUUCUGUGAUGGCGGUCGUAUGUGCGGGGUGCUACGAGCGUCGCGUUUGCUUGAUCGUGUGUUUUUGUGUUUGCUGUUAUGAAGUAGGUCGCAGUUAGCGUGCACAGAAGUGCCUGAAGAUACCUUGUGUCAUGCUGCAAGCUCGCCGUAUGCGUGGCGCGCCAGGCAAAUGUGGCCCAACGAUUUUAUGCCGUGGAGUGCGGCCUCUUUGUUCUCGUUCUUGAAAGUUGGGUGGACGUCGCAAAGAAAUAAUGUGUGUUAGCGCGCCUCAGCUCGUCCACUACGCAGCGGCAUGUAUGCGGGGAGUAACAUCGUCGACGCAGCACCGGCAACUUGGAGAGCGCUUCGCGACCGCGUCGUACCAUUCAAAAGUGGCGAGGCUGUGACCCAUAACAGUGCCCACAUAACGGAGGAGCCACCAGACCCCUUGGCCAUGCCUGCCGUAGUGCAACGUGUAAUCUGGAUGGUCGGGUCAGGUACACCUAGGAAAUGUUGUAUACAUUGGCAACGAUAACUGGGGCCUGCUCCAGUGCCAUCGCCGGGAUUCCCUGUUCUGCAAAGAACUGGCAUAACUGAUGUGGGGAGCCCUGGCGCUCGGCGUAGGAGCGUCACAGGGGCUCCUUGUCGGUGCUUGAAGGACGGCAGUGCUGUUGAGAAGCCGACAUUGAGCCCCGAUAAAUUGGAAGCUGUGGGUAGUUACCGCAUUAUUGGCUUGGAAACUAGUGAGGUCUGGAUGCAAGUGAAGCUACCGAGGGAGGCAUGUGUGCAUCACUUGUGCUGCUGGCCAUCCUCUGCAAAAGUGAUGGCUGGCUGUCAGUGCUUGGAUGACUUUCUGUUACUCUACGCCUUGGGCUGUGUUGACUACUUCACACUUGCUGCCAUGUCUGCAAGUUACUGUGUUGUGUUACUUUGUUGUGUUGUUGGUAUGUUACUGUGUUGUGUUGUACAUUACAAAGUGAAGGAGGACAGUAUUUGUGCUUUUAUUAAGAAGUAUAAAUUGUGUUCUGCCAUUGAAAUAAGGGAACUCGACAAAAAGCAAAAAAUUUGGAAGUCUGACCUACAUGGGAAAGCAAAAUAUAUUGUGUUGUAGUUGUAGCUGUUAGUAGAGUCUUAAUAUGCGAUCGAAGACCUUGAUGUUUAAUAGAAAAUACAUUUAAGUGU